ACACUCUCGUUUCUCUUCAGAUCAUAUAAAUCUUUCACCUUUUAUGAAAGAUUUCCAUGGAAAGCAGCAUUAUAUUAUAGUUUUAACUAUAUUUCUUAUGUGGUGUGGUGGCUCUGUG
rnacentral:snRNA from 1 species